GUUUGAUCCUGGCUCAUGCAGUCGACGCACUGACGUCGACCGAAGCUGCUUGCAGUGGACGUUGAUUGACGUGAGUGGCGGACGGGUGAGUAACACGUGGGUAACCUACCCUUAAGUGGGGGAUAACAUUUGGAAACAGAUGCUAAUACCGCAUAACCAUUCAGACCACAUGGUCUGAAUGUAAAAGACGGCCUUUGGCUGUCACUUUUGGACGGACCCGCGGCGUAUUAGUUAGUUGGUAAGGUAACGGCUUACCAAGACAAUGAUACGUAGCCGACCUGAGAGGGUAAUCGGCCACAUUGGGACUGAGACACGGCCCAAACUCCUACGGGAGGCAGCAGUAGGGAAUCUUCCACAAUGGACGAAAGUCUGAUGGAGCAACGCCGCGUGAGUGAAGAAGGUUUUAGGAUCGUAAAACUCUGUUGUUGGAGAAGAACAGGGACUAGAGUAACUGUUAGUCCUUUGACGGUAUCCAACCAGAAAGCCACGGCUAACUACGUGCCAGCAGCCGCGGUAAUACGUANGUGGCAAGCGUUGUCCGGAUUUAUUGGGCGUAAAGCGAGCGCAGGCGGUUUUUUAAGUCUGAUGUGAAAGCCUUCGGCUUNCCGAAGAAGUGCAUUANAAACUGGGAAACUUGAGUGCAGAAGAGGACAGNGGAACUCCAUGUGUAGCGGUGAAAUGCGUAGAUAUAUGGGAAGAACACCAGUGGCGAAGGCGGCUGUCUGGUCUGUAACUGACGCUGAGGCUCGAAAGUAUGGGGAGCGAACAAGAUANAUACCCNGGUAAGGAUUAGAUACCCUGGUAUAGNGNUNGAGGGUUUCCGCCCUUCAGUGCUGCAGCUAACGCAUUAAGCAUUCCGCCUGGGGAGUACGACCGCAAGGUUGAAACUCAAAGGAAUUGACGGGGGCCCGCACAAGCGGUGGAGCAUGUGGUUUAAUUCGAAGCAACGCGAAGAACCUUACCAGGUCUUGACAUCCUUUGACCACUGUAGAGAUACAGCUUUCCCUUCGGGGACAAAGUGACAGGUGGUGCAUGGUUGUCGUCAGCUCGUGUCGUGAGAUGUUGGGUUAAGUCCCGCAACGAGCGCAACCCUUAUGACUAGUUGCCAGCAUUUAGUUGGGCACUCUAGUAAGACUGCCGGUGACAAACCGGAGGAAGGUGGGGAUGACGUCAAAUCAGCAUGCCCCUUAUGACCUGGGCUACACACGUGCUACAAUGGUCGGUACAACGAGUUGCGAACCCGCGAGGGUAAGCUAAUCUCUUAAAGCCGAUCUCAGUUCGGAUUGUAGGCUGCAACUCGCCUACAUGAAGCCGGAAUCGCUAGUAAUCGCGGAUCAGCACGCCGCGGUGAAUACGUUCCCGGGCCUUGUACACACCGCCCGUCACACCAUGAGAGUUUGUAACACCCGAAGUCGGUGGGGUAACCCUUUUAGGGAACUAGCCGCCUAAGGUGGGACAGAUGAUUGGGGUGAAGUCGUAACAAGGUA
rnacentral:rRNA from 1 species